rnacentral:rRNA from 1 species
GAUGAACGCUAGCGGCAGGCUUAACACAUGCAAGUCGAGGGGCAGCAUGAGGGUUAGCAAUAACCCUUGAUGGCGACCGGCGCAAGGGUGCGUAACGCGUGAGCAACUUGCCCGUUUCAGGGGGAUAACCGGUGGAAACGCCGACUAAUACCCCAUAGCAUUGAUUUAAGGCAUCUUUUAUCAAUUAAAGAAUUUUCGGAAACGGAUAGGCUCGCGUGACAUUAGCUUGAUGGCGGGGUAACGGCCCACCAUGGCGACGAUGUCUAGGGGUUCUGAGAGGAAGGUCCCCCANACUGGAACUGAGACACGGACCAGACUCCUACGGGAGGCAGCAGUAAGGAAUAUUGGGCAAUGGAGGCAACUCUGAACCAGCCAAGUAGCGUGCAGGACGACGGCCCCUAUGGGUUGUAAACUGCUUUUGUUGGGAAUAAAGCGCUACGUGUAGCGUUCUGCAUGUACCUUACGAAUAAGCAUCGGCUAAUUCCGUG